UUGGGGCGCCAGGCCGUGCCGAGCGUGCCUUCGGCGAAGGUGUCGCUUCCCCGCGGACCCCGGCCCCCGACGCGUAACGCCGCGCCUCAAUUUCUCUUCAGUUGAUUUCAUCAGGUUUUAUCGCUUUUGAUAGCCUGACAAGAGUAUUUAAAUCGAUGAUACCAUCUUACCACUCUCCCUUCAUACUGGAGCGGUUGCAAAAAGGAUGACUGCAGAUGUAAGCCAGUGGGACGAAACUAUUUGUGAUAAGGUUAUUUGUCAGCAUCCACAAUGCUGGGAUACACUAAGGAGGAUUGAAGAGGGACAUCCUCGGAUCCGUUUAAGAAAUUCUGAUUCAAUUUCUAGAACGUUUUUGGAAAGCAAAGAUGAAUUUCCAACGCUGAAAAUAGUAAAUAUCCCCCCCAGCAAGUCUUUGAGAAGAUGCGUCCAAUGUUCCAAGUGUCACAGAACUUUCUCCAUCUCUGCUGCACCCUCUCUUCUAAAUUCUGUGCUUCAAGAGAGUUCGGAGGAAGAUAGUGCUGUCAGUUCAGAAAGACGUAUUUUCCCAGGCUUGAACUCUGCAGCAGGGUCAAACGUUAUCUCACCUAGACAGUUCAGCUUCAUGGUCUUGAAUAACAUUGGAAAAGCAUCACCUUUUGACCACCGCCAGAAACAGGAUACUGAGCUACACAGACCUUUGUCUGACCCACUUCAAGUGUUUCAUUUUCCUGAGAUAGCUCCUCCUAAGCAAGGAUACUGUUUAGAGAGUGGAAAUCUGAUUGUUAAGUGGGUCCCAAAUAAACAUCGCAGAUGUCAAAAGCCUGGACUGCAAGCAGUGUCAGAGUUAAAGCCUGUAAGACAGAUAGGUGUUAAAGACCUUGCCUCUGAAAGUCUCAGUGACCUUAAAGAAGUGCAAAGCCAAGGACGAGGCGUUGUCAUGAGAAGAACGACAUCCAGGAAAGUCCGUUCAGGAGGCCAGCCCGGUCUCGUGCAUCCAAAGAGCAGCCAGAUACUUAGCUGCCCAUCCAAAACAAUAAAAUCACUUCUAAACUACAAAACCAAAGGUUUUGCAGACAAAGAUGGGGUACUAAGCCAGUCUUGCCCUGGACAGCUGCAGAUUGCAACCGUAGUGGAGCUGCAAGAUGAGAGUGGCUUGAAGCUGAUGAACAGGCAGCCAGGCUUGUCUCAUGCCAAACCAAAAUCGUCCCGUCCCUUGUUAGUGCAAAAGGUGACUGCUCCGUAUAAGAUCUGUGAGGAAGUGAGGGCCUGCCUGUCCUGAGCCGGUACAGAGCAGGGAGCUUCAUGUCUUCUGGGUAUCCUCUACUGUGCUUCCUGCUCUUGGUGCACUCGACCUUGGGAUCUUUUCAAUAGACAUGACCUUUGGAGCCCCAGGCCUACUCGUGUUGCUGUUUAAGGACAUAAAAAGCUAUGUUACUGCCUUAACAGUGAAAAACAGCCCUGACUGCAUUUAACACUCUGCAAUUGCUUUGUCAGUGAUGAGCACUCUUUUGUGAAGAAUUAGCAUGUCGUCUUUGCUGUAAUUUUCAAAUUUUCUUCUUGUUUGGAUGUUGUGAAGAAGCUUCAUGAGAAAUGGUUUGGCAUCUACCCUCUCCAUUGUGUGGUACAUCAGUAAAACAUAGGCAGCAGUAAAUCUUCUGGUUCAGAAAGCCUUCCUCACCAAUAAAUGCUUCAUUGGCCACUCCUCCUUAAGGGAGGCCAAAGCUUAAACUGCAUUUCCUGGAGCAAUCUGUAAUCUCUGACCCUAGGGAAGAGAUCUACAGAGCUGCCUUCUGUGAGCAUCCCUGUUGUUUACUGUGUUUCUGGUGCUAUCACAAAGAGCAGAAUAAAGGAAGCAGCCAAGCUAGCACCCACACUAGAACUACAGGUGAUGACAAGCUGUCAGGUAAGACAGGCUUCUGCUCACACGAAUAGUUUCAGUACAAGCUCCUGGACUUUGUGACAUGUUCAACCUUGAGCAUUAAGAAUCAUCUGUAAUCACAGCUGUGAAAGCACAGCACACCUGUCUAGCAGACAAGGCUCCAAGGACAGAUCACUGGAUUAUUUAAGUGCAAAGGCUGAUAGCAAGACAUCUGUGUCUGGAUCCGAAAAGAAUCCAUGAUUUCUGUGCUGAGAGUUGAGAAGCCAUUCCGGAAGGAAUUCUAGCCCCCAGCUCCUAAAUCCGUGACUGACUUCUACGAUCUAACUUCUCUCUUCACUUGGUGCUGGCUUGGGCGUUGUUCUAGCAUCAGUAUCAGCAACAACAUUGAUACCAGCAUCAACAUCACCAGGACUGAGAAGGGGAUGCCAUUCUCAGAGGAAACUCUUUCCUUCUACAGGGCCACACUUCUCUCUCACCCUCAUUGAGAGGGGAAUGAAUUGUCCAUUUUACAGGGAGAUGAAGAGCCUAGUCAAACACGAGUUAAGAGGGCAUACCUUGUUUUUAUGAUGUUGCGGUAGAUUUCAAGGAGGAAGAACAAUUCAAGGAUGAUAUUGGCAUAAAAUCAAAUGAUUAAAAGCUCAUGCUCAGAAAAUUCAGAAUGAAAAUUAGAGAAGCAAGAAGAGGUGUUACAAACCUUAAGCGAUUCUCUAAUUAGCAAGAGAGAAACUAAUCCCAGCUCUGUUUAGAACUUGAAUUUUCCUACUUGUUUCUCUUUUCUGCGUCUCAGUUUUUAUGAAUAAUGUAACUCUAUGUCUUGUUAGAAUAUACUUGUUUGUGUUUUAAGUUGCCUUAUUAUUUAAACUGCUCUUAGGUACAUCCAAAUAAUGCAGGGCGUCUUGUUUGUUUGAAAACUGUGGAUCUGCACAAAGUGUUGCUCAUACAGCUCCUUUGGGGAAGUUUCCCUUUCUAAGAUACCUUGUCACGUAAAGCGUAUCUCUGCCAUUUUUGUCUUGGACGUGAUUUACAUCUGUCAGCUGGCUCCAGUAAUGGUGAAUUUGAAAGAAGAAAGCACACAAAGAAUCAGAAACAGUCAGUAUCUGAAGAAACCAACUAAAAUUAAAAUCAGACCAGGUAUUAAGAUAAAAACUCCAGCUAUACCUUUAAGUACUUCUACUCCCUUCUGUACUUUAAUGCACUAGGAUCUUUGUAAACCUAACUCUGGGGAACACAAUUUUUUUUCUCUUGCAAAUCCCUUUUGAAAUGUAUUAUUAAAAUCUUAUGCAUAGACACUAAGCUGAAAAGAGCGCUCCCUCUAAUGUAUCUCUAAUGAUUUGCAGAUUUGCAACCUAAACCUUAAAUUUCAGCAUUUCCUUUUAAUUU